UGCCAGGUUAUGAAUACGGAGAAGCCAAAAUGAGGAGGAACUCAGGCCUGCCAACAGCUACAUGAGUGAGCCUGGAAGCAGAUCCUCCAGCCUCAGCAGAGCUCUGAGAUAAACUGCCAUCUCACAAGAGACCUUGAACCAGAGAUACUGACUGAGUGCCCGCGACGUGCCUGGCCCUGCAGCACACCUGGGUACCUGCUGGUGAGGGACGCAGCCCCUGCCUGUGGACCCGCCUCGGCCUCGCCGCUCACCGCCUUCAGUUCCCGGCGCCCGGGCGUCUCCUGGCAGCGGCUCACCUGGCUCCUUGGCGGGGGCGGGAGUGCGGCGCUGGGGUCCCACACGGCUCCCGCCUAGCUAGCGGCGUUGAGGACGCGGACACCGGCGGUUCCCGAACCGUUGCGGCCGAUCCCGCCGGCGUUCCGGGUGGGCAGGAGAUGAGAGUGGGGGAGGGGACGAGGAAGGAGAGCAUGAACAGCUGGGCUGGGGAGCCAGGAAAGGGGUAUCUGGGCCGCCCUCCUCAUACCUGAGCCAGUACUUGGUAAACCUCACUACCUGUACGCCAACGCUCCUACUCUCUCCGAGGUUUUACUAUUCCUGAUCCAGGGCCUAUCUGAUGCCCAGCCUCGUGCUCUAAACAUACAGUAACGCACAAGUGUACUGCACAGACGGUAAUUCACUAACAUCUCCCGAAGACUUAAGCCUUCCUCAGGUCAGAAGAGGUAAAGGGAAAUAGAGGCUAGGAGGGUCACCCAGGUCUCCAAGCAUAGGCCCUCUGCCCCACAAGCCUGGCUCCCCACACUGGAUGACAACCUCCUGCCCAGAUCGCGGCUCUGCACGCAGACUUGCCCUCUGCACUCACUCCCUUUACCCUCCUGGCACCCUAUCCCUGUCCCCAUCGCUGUCUCUUACUCCACCUUGUAUUCCUGCUUGGCCCGGUUACAGUUUUAUACUUGUUUGUUUGAUGAUUGUGUUAGUGUCUACCUUCUUAUUCACUUUAUGUAUUCCUUUUUGUAAAUUGUCUUACCCCCAUGAGGGCCGGGAUUUUUAUCCCUUUCAAUAACUGUAUCAGUGCCCACAACAGUGUGGUGGACAUAGGAAGUGUUCAACAAAUUUGUGUUGAAUGAUUGCCCUCCCAUUGAUUGUAAGCCCCACACAGGCAGCAACUGUAGUUUUAAAUUACUUUUUAACUACAAGUGCUUGGCACCCGGUGGCAUUUAAUACACAUUUGUUGAAUGAGUAUACAAACAUACUGCUUACUUUA